rnacentral:rRNA from 1 species
UACGUAGGGUGCAGGCGUUAAUCGGAAUUACUGGGCGUAAAGCGUGCGCAGGCGGUCCGUAGAACACAUGUGAAAUCCCCGGGCUUAACCUGGGAACUGCAUUUGUGACUGGCGGACUCGAGUAUGGCAGAGGGGGGUAGAAUUCCACGUGUAGCAGUGAAAUGCGUAGAGAUGUGGAGGAAUACCGAUGGCGAAAGGCGCAGCCC